rnacentral:rRNA from 1 species
GUGACCUCAAAUCAGGUAGGACUACCCGCUGAACUUAAGCAUAUCAAUAAGCGGAGGAAAAGAAACUAACAAGGAUUCCCCUAGUAACUGCGAGUGAAGCGGGAAAAGCUCAAAUUUAAAAUCUGGCAGUCUUUGGCUGUCCGAGUUGUAAUCUAGAGAAGUGCUAUCCGCGCUGGACCGUGUACAAGUCUCCUGGAAUGGAGCGUCAUAGAGGGUGAGAAUCCCGUCUUUGACACGGACUACCAGGGCUUUGUGAUGUGCUCUCAAAGAGUCGAGUUGUUUGGGAAUGCAGCUCAAAAUGGGUGGUAAAUUCCAUCUAAAGCUAAAUAUUGGCGAGAGACCGAUAGCGAACAAGUACCGUGAGGGAAAGAUGAAAAGAACUUUGGAAAGAGAGUUAAACAGUACGUGAAAUUGCUGAAAGGGAAACGCUUGAAGUCAGUCGCGUUGUCCAGGGAUCAACCUUGCUUUUGCUUGGUGCACUUCCUGGUUGACGGGUCAGCAUCAAUUUUGACUGUUGGAAAAAGAUCAAGGGAAUGUGGCAUCUCUGGAUGUGUUAUAGCCCUUGGUUGCAUACAAUGGUUGGGAUUGAGGAACUCAGCACGCCGCAAGGCCGGGUUUAACCACGUACGUGCUAGGAUG